CUACGGGACGCUCCAGUGAGGAAUAUUGCACAAUGGGGGGAACCCUGAUGCAGCAACGCCGCGUGGAGGAUGACGCAUUUCGGUGUGUAAACUCCUUUUAUAUGUCAAGAAAAUGACGGUAGCAUAUGAAUAAGCACCGGCUAACUCCGUGCCAGCAGCCGCGGUAAUACGGAGGGUGCAAGCGUUACUCGGAAUCACUGGGCGUAAAGGACGCGUAGGCGGGUUGGAAAGUCAGGUGUGAAAUCCUACAGCCUAACUGUAGAACUGCACUUGAAACUUCUAAUCUAGAGUAUGGGAGGGGGAGAUAGAAUUAGUGGUGUAGGGGUAAAAUCCGUAGAUAUCACUAGGAAUACCUAAAGCGAAGGCGAUCUCCUGGAACAUUACUGACGCUAAGGCGUGAAAGCGUGGGGAGCAAACAGGAUUAGAUACCCGUGUAGUC
rnacentral:rRNA from 1 species